rnacentral:rRNA from 1 species
CGUGUAGGCGGCCAGGUAGGUCCGAUGUGAAAUCUGGAGGCUCAACCUCCAGCGGUCAUUGGAAACCAUCUGGCUAGAGUCCGGAAGAGGAGAGUGGAAUUCCUGGUGUAGCGGUGAAAUGCGCAGAUAUCAGGAAGAACACCAAUGGCGAAGGCAGCUCUCUGGGACGGUACUGACGCUGAGACGCGAAAGCGUGGGAGCGAACA